GACAGAGGAUGCAAGCGUUAUCCGGAAUGAUUGGGCGUAAAGCGUCUGUAGGUGGCUUUUUAAGUCUGCCGUCAAAUCCCAGGGCUCAACCCUGGGCAGGCGGUGGAAACUACCAAGCUAGAGUACGGUAGGGGCAGAGGGAAUUUCCGGUGGAGCGGUGAAAUGCGUAGAUAUCAAGUGGAACACCAGUGGCGAAGGCGAGUCCCUGGACAACUCCUGACACUGAGGCACGAAAGCUAGGGGAGCAAACAGG
rnacentral:rRNA from 1 species